rnacentral:sRNA from 1 species
AAGCAAAGGGGACAAAAGCUUGUGAGGUUCACUUUAUUCUUCCUCUUUCUCUCAGGGGACAUGUUGAUCUGACAAUGCUAGGAGCGAUGCAGGUUUCCAAAUAUGGUGACCUGGCUAACUGGAUGAUACCUGGGAAGAUGGUGAAAGGAAUGGGAGGUGCUAUGGAUUUAGUGUCCAGUGCCAAAACCAAGGUGGUGGUCACCAUGGAGCAUUCUGCAAAGGGAAAUGCACAUAAAAUCAUGGAGAAAUGUACAUUACCAUUGACUGGAAAGCAAUGUGUCAACCGCAUUAUUACUGAAAAGGCUGUGUUUGAUGUGGACAAGAAGAAAGGGUUGACUCUGGUUGAGCUCUGGGAAGGCCUGACAGUGGGUGACAUACAGAAGAGUACUGGGUGUGAUUUUGCCGUUUCACCAAAACUCAUGCCAAUGCAGCAGAUCGCAAAUUGAAAUAUGGAUAUUUGUACCAGGCUGCAUGUUUUUCAGUUUAAACACAUAGGAUUUAAUUGAAAGGACAUCAAUAAUCAUAAUUGUGUAUUUAACAGGUGGUUUUUGAUUAGUUUUCUUGUGUUUCAGACUUUAUGCAGCCAUAUAAACU